rnacentral:rRNA from 1 species
AGAGUUUGAUCAUGGCUCAGGACGAACGCUGGCGGCGUGCUUCAAACAUGCAAGUCGAACGGAGAACAUUCAAAGCUUGCUUUGAAAGUUCUUAGUGGCGGACUGGUGAGUAACGCGUGAGUAAUCUGCCUAUUACAGGGGGAUAACAGAGGGAAACUUCUGCUAAUACCGCAUAAGACCACGGUAUGGCAUCAUACAGGGGUCAAAGGGAAUUACUGGUAAUAGAUGGGCUUGCGUAUCAUUAGCUAGUUGGUGAGGGUAACGGCCUACCAAGGCGACGAUGAUUAGCCGAUCUGAGAGGAUGACCGG